UGUUUUGUCUAAUUCACGGCACUCCAGAACUGUGUCUGUUUUUCCUCACAUUCUCUUUCUUGUCUGCCACAGCAAUAUUCUCAGCAAACCAUCCGACGGCAACUCCUGUGAUCACAAAAGUCAAGCACUGAUGGAAAUGAAGACCACGACCCCGAUUCCUCAGGUGCCGGAUUGAUGGGACUGCAAAUGUGUAAAGUCUUGCACAGGAAACCCCCCAGCACAGCCAUUCAGAGGCUCUCAACUCCUGCUGGACCCAAACACAAGAAACCAGGAGGCGCAGACCCCAUCUCUCAUUUUGCACCUUGGGAAACAAUUUUGCAUCCAGCUGUACUCCAGAUGUUUAUAUAGAAACUUCACAGCAGACAUGAUGGUGGCGCAGGUCUGCAGGAAGGACCCUUUCCUGCUUGCAGAGUGACUCAAGGUAGGCGAUCCCUUCAAUAUUUACAACAGCUGGGUGAGUGGAGGCAUGAUCAACUCCAUUUACCCAUCAAAUAAAUGAAAUUUCAGAGUGGUUACACAAUGUGCUCGAGGUAACAAGGCCAGCAAGCCACGGAGCCAA